AUUGAACGCUGGCGGCAUGCCUUACACAUGCAAGUCGAACGGAUAAGAAGGGCUUGCUCUUCCGGUUAGUGGCGAACGGGUGAGUAAUGCAUCGGAACGUAACCAGUCGUGGGGGAUAACGUAGCGAAAGUUACGCUAAUACCGCAUACGAUCUGAGGAUGAAAGCGGGGGACCUUCGGGCCUCGCGCGAUUGGAGCGGCCGAUGUCGGAUUAGCGAGUUGGUGAGGUAAAGGCUCACCAAGGCGACGAACCGUAGCUGGUCUGAGAGGACGAACAGCCAGACUGGAACUGAGACACGGUCCAGACUCCUACGGGAGGCAGCAGUGGGGAAUUUUGGACAAUGGGCGAAAGCCUGAUCCAGCCAUGCCGCGUGAGUGAAGAAGGCCUUCGGGUUGUAAAGCUCUUUCAGACGGAAAGAAAUCUUCUGGGUGAAUAUCCCGGGAGGAUGACGGUACCGUAAGAAGAAGCACCGGCUAACUACGUGCCAGCCGCCGCCGUAA
rnacentral:rRNA from 1 species